UGGUUCACUUCCUAUAGGGACUGAAAACCAAGUGAGGAGAUGAAGGAUUGCACCACACCACCCGAGAGAAUACAGAGAGAAUAGACACCACAGACAGAUCCUGACAAUCAACAAAGGGACAACUGCACAACAACAUGGAAGACCUCAAGUGCGAGGUGCCUGACCAGGUUUGCAUACAAUCAUCAGCGAAUGACCAGCACAUUCAUGGAAAUGAGAAGCUCUUUAGGUGCGAGUUCUGUGAAAAGUCUUUCUCAACAUCAUGGAACCUCAAAAGACACAGACGGAUGCAUAUGGGAGAGAAAUUAUUAACAUGUGAAAUGUGCAGCAAAUCAUUCUCGGACUCCUCUUACCUCCGUGUACACCAACGUGUUCACACUGGGGAGAAACCGUUCACGUGCGAAGUGUGUGACAAAUCAUUUGCACAGUCAUCCACCCUCCACGCACAUCAACGCAUUCACACAGGAGAGAAGCCCUUCAAGUGUGAGGUAUGUGACAAAUCCUUUUCACAGUUAGGAAGCCUCAUGGUCCAUCAGAAGAUCCACACAGGGGAGAAACCCUUCAAGUGCGAGGCUUGUGGUAAAGCUUUUGUGAGAUCUUCGAGCCUCCUGAUACACCAGAUGAUUCACACUGGAGAGAAACCCUUCCGAUGUGAAUUUUGUGAAAUAGCUUUCAUCCAGUUCUCCGAUCUCCUGAGACACCAGAGAAUUCACACAGGAGAGAAACCCUUUAAAUGUGAGGUUUGUGACCGAGCCUUUACACAGUCCUCGACGCUUGUAAAACACCAACGCAUUCACACAGAUAGGGAAUCUGUUCUCAUGCAAGAUGUGUGACAAAUACAUUUCAGGGUCAUCAAUCCUCCACCUAUUGUAGAAGCAGAACUAUCUGGUGCAGAGUUUGGAACAAAGCUUUCACCUCCUCCUCCAAUCUACUGAAGCAUCAACAAAUUCGCAAUGGUGAGAAACCAUUCAUGUAUGAGGAGCGUGUCAAGGCUUCCAUACAGUUUGUGUAUCCCCAGGUUUAUUAACGCACACUUAUGAGAAGCUUCAUGGGUGAGGGUUCUGUGUUAAUACCUGACACAGUUGUCAGAUCUGCCGGAACAUCACUUGACUCAAACAGGAGACAAACCUUCCCAGUGUGAUGUUAUUAGGAUUGUUUCACCUCCUCCUGUCUCACCAGACACCAAAAUCUCCACAUGGACAUGGGACCAGAUCAACCGCUUCCGUUACGCUGAGAGCUGUCUGUGUUGUUUCCCCUCCAGUGCUCACAAAGGGGGAGCUGUCAUUCCAAAGCGCUGUCUGUCUCAAACCUCUCUCAAAUUCAAUUCAGUCAUUUCAAGAAGGUCAAUUUAACCUUUGGCCUGAUCAUUAAACAUCACCAAAAGAAGUAUGCACAGAAGCUCCUGUAGAAAUGCAGCAUCCUUUCAGUAUAGGGUCAGGGACAAGUCUCUCACUGAUUCUCACUCUGACCAAGAAGACAAUCAGAUACUCAGCGGUUACAAAGGCUUUAGCACUGGGGGAGAAACCAUUCCUGGAUAGUAAUGGAGUUACAGUCGUCCCUUUCUGGGUUGGAGGUAGGGGAAUUCCUUUUUCUUCCCCAAUCCAUAGGAUGAAUGCAUG